AGAUGACUUGUUAGCUACAGAGAAAAAUGUGGAAGGGAUAUGGGAGUAACAUACUGCCUGCUAUCCACAUUGGGAAAUAGAAGGCCCCUGCUAUGAGGACCUUGGAGGCCACGUGCUUCAGAUGGCAGAGCUACAAGAGAGAGGAGAGCUGUCGGCCAUAUUGGACUUCAUCACACUAUCUGGCCACAAGAGGUGCUUCGGUCGUUGCUGGCUGUAAAGACAAAGGCAGAGUUACCACUCUCUGAUCCAUCCACCAAAUCUUGGCUUCUUUAUUAAAAACUGA